CUUCCUGUUUCUUCCUUCCCAACUGUCUUGAUGGAGAUUUUCUCACAAAUGAUAGAUGUGAUGUCAGAUGAAGAACAUUGUACUUAUGGCCAGGAGACUGGAUUUCAAUCAUCACUUUGCUACUUACUGCCUACGUAACCUUGGAAAGUCACUCAAGGAAACUGAAACCCCAGAAUUUAUCCUCAAAAUGUAUUAAAUCUACUUCAGAUUCAGAGAAAUGUCACACUGUUUCCACCAGAUGUGAUUGCAAGCAUCUUUUCUUCAGCAUGAUAGGUGACACCCAUUGGGUUAUUGGGUUAUUAUACCCUUUCAUUGACAGGCAUCUAGGAGAGCCACGUAAAUUUAAAAGAGUGGCCCAGUGUAAUGCGAUAUGUAACUGUCUUUGUUGGUAUAAAUCAUGCCAGUGCUAAAGUAGAUUUUGACAACAAUAUACAGUUGUCUCUCAUUCUAGCUGCACUAUCCAUUGGCUUGUGGUAGACUUUUGAUAGAGAAGUGCUUUUGGCCUUGGAGUAGGAAUUGCUUUCUUGGCAACCUUGGUCACUCAACUACUAGUCUAUAGUGGGGUUUAUCAGUAUAUAUCUCCAGAUUUUCUUUAUGUCCCUUCUUGGUGACCAUGUAUAUUUUUUGCUGGUGGUAUAACAAUGGGAAAUAUUGGUCGACAACUGGCCAUGUAUGAAUGUAAAAUCACUGCAGAAAAAUCUCAUCAAGAAUGAAGAAAGCAAAAAUAUGUUUUUGUACAGAAAAAUAAACAAGAUUUAAAGAAACA
rnacentral:lncRNA from 1 species